rnacentral:rRNA from 1 species
GACGAACGCUGGCGGCGUGCUUAACACAUGCAAGUCGAACGGAAAGGCCCUGCUUUUGUGGGGGGCUCGGGUGGCGAACGGGUGAGUAACAAGUGAGUAACCUGCCCUUGACUUUGGGGUAACUUCAGGAAACUGGGGCUAAUACCGGAUAGGAGCUCCUGCUGCCUGGUGGGGGUUGGAAAGUUUCGGCGGUUGGGGAUGGACUCGCGGCUUAUCAGCUUGUUGGUGGGGUAGUGGCUUACCAAGGCUUUGACGGGUAGCCGGCCUGAGAGGGUGACCGGCCACAUUGGGACUGAGAUACGGCCCAGACUCCUACGGGAGGCAGCAGUGGGGAAUAUUGCACAAUGGGCGGAAGCCUGAUGCAGCAACGCCGCGUGCGGGAUGACGGCCUUCGGGUUGUAAACCGCUUUCGCCUGUGACGAAGCGUGAGUGACGGUAAUGGGUAAAGAAGCACCGGCUAACUACGUG